CGCGAAAAAGUUUUGAAACUCUCUGUGGCGUUAAUAGUAAACCAAACCUGGCCCUCCAGAAAGGUCUGAGGGAUUCAAGCACACAACACUACAUUCUUCGAGACUUUGCAGUCACAACUCUGCAUGAUUUCAUGGUCGUCCCUUCUUUCCGUUCAUAUAUGUUGACCGUGAAUUCUGUGUGAGAGGAAGUUUCAGCGAAUCCAGUAGUAAAGGAGUGGGGGUGGGAGAGCGAAUCCGGGUUUUAAAAUGAGGAUGAUGUCGUUGAAGUGUUUCGAGAGAUAACUCGGGGAGCGACUUAAAGGAAUAAAUCUGAGGGGGCCAAGAUGUUUUUUUUUCUCACUGGAGACUCAGGGAGACUGUGCUGAACUAAGGAUACAUGGGACACCUGCACAAGCAUUGGAUUUUGUCCUGCAACAUCUGAAAGGUACCACCCAGACACCUGAAGUGCUCUCUGCCAGAAGCAGGCUAUGAGCCAAGGGGAAGGCAGAGGACAGAAAUGAAUGUGCUCCCAAGCUUUCCUGGUGGUGUAUGGCAUUCUCCAAACUCCUGUGCAGGGGCUAUUCCUGACCGAGAAGACCCAAGGAGACCGUCUCUGAAAUCAAGUCCAGAUGAAGAA
rnacentral:lncRNA from 1 species